rnacentral:antisense_RNA from 2 species
GAGGCUUGCCCGCGAAGGCGGAGUGUCAGUGGACAUCAUUGGUAAUGACACUCCGCCUUCGCGGGCAAGCCUC